rnacentral:rRNA from 1 species
UACGAAGGGGGCUAGCGUUGUUCGGAUUUACUGGGCGUAAAGCGCACGUAGGCGGAUCGUUAAGUCGGGGGUGAAAUCCUGGAGCUCAACUCCAGAACUGCCUUCGAUACUGGCGAUCUAGAGUCCGGAAGAGGUGAGUGGAACUCCUAGUGUAGAGGUGGAAUUCGUAGAUAUUAGGAAGAACACCAGUGGCGAAGGCGGCUCACUGGUCCGGUACUGACGCUGAGGCACGAAAGCGUGGGGGAGCAAACAGG